UGACUGCGUACCUUUUGUAUAAUGGGUCAGCGACUUAUAUUCUGUAGCAAGGUUAACCGAAUAGGGGAGCCGAAGGGAAACCGAGUCUUAACUGGGCGUUAAGUUGCAGGGUAUAGACCCGAAACCCGGUGAUCUAGCCAUGGGCAGGUUGAAGGUUGGGUAACACUAACUGGAGGACCGAACCGACUAAUGUUGAAAAAUUAGCGGAUGACUUGUGGCUGGGGGUGAAAGGCCAAUCAAACCGGGAGAUAGCUGGUUCUCCCCGAAAGCUAUUUAGGUAGCGCCUCGUGAAUUCAUCUCCGGGGGUAGAGCACUGUUUCGGCAAGGGGGUCAUCCCGACUUACCAACCCGAUGCAAACUGCGAAUACCGGAGAAUGUUAUCACGGGAGACACACGGCGGGUGCUAACGUCCGUCGUGAAGAGGGAAACAACCCAGACCGCCAGCUAAGGUCCCAAAGUCAUGGUUAAGUGGGAAACGAUGUGGGAAGGCCCAGACAGCCAGGAUGUUGGCUUAGAAGCAGCCAUCAUUUAAAGAAAGCGUAAUAGCUCACUGGUCGAGUCGGCCUGCGCGGAAGAUGUAACGGGGCUAAACCAUGCACCGAAGCUGCGGCAGCGACACUGUGUGUUGUUGGGUAGGGGAGCGU
rnacentral:rRNA from 1 species